rnacentral:rRNA from 1 species
UACGUAGGGGCUAGCGUUAUCUGGAAUUACUGGGCGUAAAGGGUGCGUAGGUGGUUUCUUAAGUCAGAGGUGAAAGGCUAUGGCUCAACCGUAGUAAGCCUUUGAAACUGGGAAACUUGAGUGCAGGAGAGGAGAGUGGAAUUCCUAGUGUAGCGGUGAAAUGCGUAGAUAUUAGGAGGAACACCAGUUGCGAAGGCGGCUCUCUGGACUGUAACUGACACUGAGGCACGAAAGCGUGGGGAGCAAACAGGAUUAGAUACCCCGGUAGUCCCUGAG